GUGUAAACAAAAAAUCUCUGUGUAGUGAUAUUUGACACAUUGCUAUGAUAAACAAAUGACUGAGCUGAACCAUUAGUGUUAAUUUAGAAAAUAAGGGAACACAGAAUAAAUGUGUAAAAACCAUGGAGCUAUGAAAUGUGUUCAAAGUAUUAAAAUUUCAAAGAACUUAUUGUGUUAAAAUUGGGAUUUUUUACCAUGAGGAGCGACAUCGCAAAAGGAUACUCGGGGUUUGCUAAAUUACGGAAAAAUGAAUCACACUUCGUACCCCGAAAAUUUAACCACAUAUGUAAAAAUGUCUCAGCUUCGAAACAAGCCAUCAUACAUAUACAAGUUUACGAUAUGGGCUGAGCAACAGAAGAAAACGUUAUCAUUACGGCCUAUGGAAUAACAAUUGCGCAUAUUGACCCAUCUUGUAAGAGAGGAUCCAGAGAUAUCUUAAGCUAAUUUCACCUUGUACACCACAGAAAAUUGUUAAAAUGAUGUUCCAGACAUAUCAUUACUUUUAAAUAUGAGAUGACAAACUAAAGGUUUUAAAAGGUCCUGAAUAACUGAAAUGGACAAAUAUACACAGAUUUAUUCAGAAUGUCAUACCGAUGAAGAUCGCCUAAAAAUAUUUGGAAAAAUCAGAACUAUGGAUUUCAAUAUGGGACAAUACCCCUAAUGCGCCUUGAAAUGAGGAACACAAAAGUCACGUGUAAACAAAAAAUCUCUGUGUAGUGAUAUUUGACACAUUGCUAUGAUAAACAAAUGACUGAGCUGAACCAUUAGUGUUAAUUUAGAAAAUAAGGGAACACAGAAUAAAUGUGUAAAAACCAUGGAGCUAUGAAAUGUGUUCAAAGUAUUAAAAUUUCAAAGAACUUAUUGUGUUAAAAUUGGGAUUUUUUACCAUGAGGAGCGACAUCGCAAAAGGAUACUCGGGGUUUGCUAAAUUACGGAAAAAUGAAUCACACUUCGUACCCCGAAAAUUUAACCACAUAUGUAAAAAUGUCUCAGCUUCGAAACAAGCCAUCAUACAUAUACAAGUUUACGAUAUGGGCUGAGCAACAGAAGAAAACGUUAUCAUUACGGCCUAUGGAAUAACAAUUGCGCAUAUUGACCCAUCUUGUAAGAGAGGAUCCAGAGAUAUCUUAAGCUAAUUUCACCUUGUACACCACAGAAAAUUGUUAAAAUGAUGUUCCAGACAUAUCAUUACUUUUAAAUAUGAGAUGACAAACUAAAGGUUUUAAAAGGUCCUGAAUAACUGAAAUGGACAAAUAUACACAGAUUUAUUCAGAAUGUCAUACCGAUGAAGAUCGCCUAAAAAUAUUUGGAAAAAUCAGAACUAUGGAUUUCAAUAUGGGACAAUACCCCUAAUGCGCCUUGAAAUGAGGAACACAAAAGUCACGUGUAAACAAAAAAUCUCUGUGUAGUGAUAUUUGACACAUUGCUAUGAUAAACAAAUGACUGAGCUGAACCAUUAGUGUUAAUUUAGAAAAUAAGGGAACACAGAAUAAAUGUGUAAAAACCAUGGAGCUAUGAAAUGUGUUCAAAGUAUUAAAAUUUCAAAGAACUUAUUGUGUUAAAAUUGGGAUUUUUUACCAUGAGGAGCGACAUCGCAAAAGGAUACUCGGGGUUUGCUAAAUUACGGAAAAAUGAAUCACACUUCGUACCCCGAAAAUUUAACCACAUAUGUAAAAAUGUCUCAGCUUCGAAACAAGCCAUCAUACAUAUACAAGUUUACGAUAUGGGCUGAGCAACAGAAGAAAACGUUAUCAUUACGGCCUAUGGAAUAACAAUUGCGCAUAUUGACCCAUCUUGUAAGAGAGGAUCCAGAGAUAUCUUAAGCUAAUUUCACCUUGUACACCACAGAAAAUUGUUAAAAUGAUGUUCCAGACAUAUCAUUACUUUUAAAUAUGAGAUGACAAACUAAAGGUUUUAAAAGGUCCUGAAUAACUGAAAUGGACAAAUAUACACAGAUUUAUUCAGAAUGUCAUACCGAUGAAGAUCGCCUAAAAAUAUUUGGAAAAAUCAGAACUAUGGAUUUCAAUAUGGGACAAUACCCCUAAUGCGCCUUGAAAUGAGGAACACAAAAGUCACGUGUAAACAAAAAAUCUCUGUGUAGUGAUAUUUGACACAUUGCUAUGAUAAACAAAUGACUGAGCUGAACCAUUAGUGUUAAUUUAGAAAAUAAGGGAACACAGAAUAAAUGUGUAAAAACCAUGGAGCUAUGAAAUGUGUUCAAAGUAUUAAAAUUUCAAAGAACUUAUUGUGUUAAAAUUGGGAUUUUUUACCAUGAGGAGCGACAUCGCAAAAGGAUACUCGGGGUUUGCUAAAUUACGGAAAAAUGAAUCACACUUCGUACCCCGAAAAUUUAACCACAUAUGUAAAAAUGUCUCAGCUUCGAAACAAGCCAUCAUACAUAUACAAGUUUACGAUAUGGGCUGAGCAACAGAAGAAAACGUUAUCAUUACGGCCUAUGGAAUAACAAUUGCGCAUAUUGACCCAUCUUGUAAGAGAGGAUCCAGAGAUAUCUUAAGCUAAUUUCACCUUGUACACCACAGAAAAUUGUUAAAAUGAUGUUCCAGACAUAUCAUUACUUUUAAAUAUGAGAUGACAAACUAAAGGUUUUAAAAGGUCCUGAAUAACUGAAAUGGACAAAUAUACACAGAUUUAUUCAGAAUGUCAUACCGAUGAAGAUCGCCUAAAAAUAUUUGGAAAAAUCAGAACUAUGGAUUUCAAUAUGGGACAAUACCCCUAAUGCGCCUUGAAAUGAGGAACACAAAAGUCACGUGUAAACAAAAAAUCUCUGUGUAGUGAUAUUUGACACAUUGCUAUGAUAAACAAAUGACUGAGCUGAACCAUUAGUGUUAAUUUAGAAAAUAAGGGAACACAGAAUAAAUGUGUAAAAACCAUGGAGCUAUGAAAUGUGUUCAAAGUAUUAAAAUUUCAAAGAACUUAUUGUGUUAAAAUUGGGAUUUUUUACCAUGAGGAGCGACAUCGCAAAAGGAUACUCGGGGUUUGCUAAAUUACGGAAAAAUGAAUCACACUUCGUACCCCGAAAAUUUAACCACAUAUGUAAAAAUGUCUCAGCUUCGAAACAAGCCAUCAUACAUAUACAAGUUUACGAUAUGGGCUGAGCAACAGAAGAAAACGUUAUCAUUACGGCCUAUGGAAUAACAAUUGCGCAUAU